CUAAGUUCCCCUUUCACCCUCUCAAAACUCUUCCCCGCUCAGCCGUCGAGUUCUCAAGUCGUCACUGCCACCGCUGUUCAGCUUCACCCGCGCGCGCACUCGUACCCACGCCUCGGCCUCCCCCAGUCGCUCGCAUCAGUAAAUCAUCCAAGGUGAUGGAAUAAUGAGAAAACUUCUUUGUUUUUGUUCUUAUCAAUGGAGAGCAGCUACAUUGGGAGACAGGCAAUCUUAAAAUUUCCCUUGAUGGAUGCCUCUCACAGACAUGAAGAGGCACACUAUCUUUUCGGUACACUGUUUGCGUAUCUUCUCUCUUCAGCCCAACUUAAGUUUUGGAUCAUAUUUCUCUCCUUUAUUCUCAUUGAGAAGAAACUUGAGCCAAGUACUCUCAGUAAUCUCAACAAAUACCAGACCUUUUCCUGAUUAUUCACCUAAGAAACCUACUAUCAAAGAUGCUGAACUUGUUCAUCAUGUCACUACCACAAUAAAGUUGCGUCGCUCUGAGCCUUUGCGUCGCAUCUUGAAGUCUUACGAAUCUAAGUUCAGGUCUGAUCAUCUAAUUUGGAUUCUCAUGAACAUUAGGAAUGAUUAUAAUUUAGUUUUGGAUUUAUUUGAUUGGGCAUGUGUUCGUAGAGAACCAACACUAGAGGCUCGUUGCAUUGUUGCUCAAAUUGCCACAGCAUCAAAGGAUCUUAAAAUGGCGCAUUGGCUUAUUAUUGAUUUUUGGAGAAAACCCAAUUUGGAUAUAAGUCUUGCAUUCACUCAUUUUUCCGAGAGAUUAAUAUACACAUACAAGGACUGGGGUUCAGAUCCCCAUGUAUUUGAUAUUUUUUUCCAAGUGCUUGUUGAAGCUGGGAUGCUCAAUGAAGCAAGAAAACUUUUCAUGAAAUUGUUGAAUUAUGGAUUGGUUAUAUCUGUUGAUUCUUGUAAUUUGUUCCUCACUCGUCUAUCAAACAAUCUUGAUGGAAUUGAGAUGGCAAUAAAAGUUUUCAAUGAAUAUCCUCAAGUGGGUAUUUGCUGGAAUACUGCAUCAUAUAAUAUAAUUAUUAAUUCACUUUGUGAAUUAGGAAAAAUCAAAGAAGCCCACCAUCUACUUUUGCAGAUGGAGUUGAGAGGCUGCUUACCUGAUGUUGUAAGUUAUAGUACUAUAAUUAGCAGAUACUGUUCCGUUGGUGACCUACAGAAGGUGUUGAAGCUCGUAGAAGAAAUGAAAAUAAAAAAAGUCCAGCCAAACCUGUAUACCUGCAACAGCAUUAUACUUCUUUUGUGCAAGUGUGGAAAACUGUCUGAAGCUGAGAAGGUCUUGAGGGAAAUGGCUACCCAGGGAAUCAUUCCUGAUAAUGUGAUAUACACUACCUUAAUAGAUGGUUUCUGCAAGUCAGGCAAUGUUCCAGCUGCAUGCAGGUUGUUCGAGGAAAUGCAGAUCAGGAAAAUUUAUCCUGAUUCUGUAGCAUAUACAGCUAUCAUAGAUGGGUUUUGUCAAGCUGAAAAGAUGAUGGAAGCUGAUAAGCUUUUUAAUGAAAUGAUUAGUAGAGGGUUGGAACCAGAUGAAUUUUCUUAUACAGCACUUAUCCAUGGUUAUUGCAAAGCAGGUGAGAUGAAAAGGGCUUUUGGUCUUCACAAUGAGAUGGUUAAAAUGGGACUUAAGCCAAACAUCGUCACUUACACUGCACUGGCUGAUGGCCUUUGUAAACAAGGAGAGGUAGACACAGCAAACGAACUUCUCCAAGAAAUGUCCACGAAAGGUCUUCAACUGAAUGUCUGCACUUACAACUCAAUUCUUAACGGACUUUGUAAAUCAGGAAACAUGGUAGAUGCAGAGAAAUUAAUGGAAGAAUUGAAGGUGGCUGGGCCACGCCCUGAUGCAUUUACUUAUACUACUCUCAUGGAUGCAUAUUGCAAGACAGGAAAGAUGUCUAAAGCUCACAUGCUCCUGCAAGAGAUGCUGGAUAGUGGGAUUCAACCCACUGUUGUUACAUUCAAUGUGCUGAUGAAUGGUUUUUGCAUGUCCGGAAUGUUGGAAGAUGGUAAUAAACUAAUUAAAUGGAUGUUGGAUAAGGGUAUAAUGCCCAAUGCCACGACCUAUAAUUCUCUUAUGAAGCAGUACUCCAGCAGAAAUAACAUGCGUUACACAACUGAGAUUUAUAGGAACAUGUGUGCACAAGGAGUGAUGCCUGAUAGCAAUACCUAUAAUAUUUUAAUAAAGGGGCAUUGUAAAGCAAGGAAUAUGAAAGAGGCAGAGUUUUUGCAGAGAGAAAUGACUGAGAAGGGUUUUUUUCUUACAGCAAGUUCAUACAAUGCAUUAAUAAAGGGUUUUUACAAGAGAAAGAAAAUUGAAGAGGCAAGGAAACUGUUUGAAGAAAUGAGGAAGCAAGGUUUGGUUGCAGAUAGGGAAAUAUAUGAAAUUUUUGUUGAUAUGAACUAUAAAGAAGGGAACAUGGAUAUAACCCUUGAGCUUUGUGAUGAAGUGAUAGAGAAUUGUAUUGUGGAUAGGACCAAGAACAGCAGGACCUAGAUUGAUUUGUCUGUUGUGAUGUUUGAGUUGUCCUGCUCUGUUACUGUCUUUUGGUACGAAUUAGCUUGCAACUAGGCCUAUGGCUCUGAUCAAAAUCUAUUGAAAAGGCAUGCCCAGGAAGAUCACCAUUUGCCAUCUUUCAUAGAAGAGUAUGUAAGGCUGAGCUGUGAACUUCUACAUGUUCAGUGCACAAGGAGUACCCUGGAAAUCUCAAAAACUGUUUUCUGAGGAAAAUAAAUUAUCGAUCUGCAUCACUAUGAUAGGCCUCCUAUUACCUACGUGUACAGUAGGAGAGGGAAAGGUGAGGUAAGCACAAAAAGUGGCUAGGAGUUAGUUAUUGGGGCUGGUAUUGUAUGGGUGUGGGUGCACGGUUUAGAGUGAGGUCUAGAGUAAUAGAAUAAGUUGUAAGUGAGAAAUGUGUAGGGGGUGUGAAGUGUUUUAGUGCUGUAACCAGUUUUGGGAGAGACCCUGGCUCUCGAAUUACAGGAGGUUGAAUACAUACAGAUAUUUCUUUCAUUUUUCUGUGUUUGGCUAUUGUGUGAUCUGGUUUUGACAGGGAAAUCAUCACACUAUCAAUAUGACAUUAAGAUGGAAGGUAUAUUGAGGAUCAACCAUCUAUUGUUUUCAUGCCCAUAAAGUUGUUUGUAGGCAUGCAAAAUAUUUCUGUCAGCAUUCUUAGAAUUAACUUUUCAGAGUGGAUGCAGGAAAUCUGGUGAGGUUGGAGGACUUGUGAGUCAAAUUGGGGAAGAUCAUCCAAUUAACAGUGGGAAUAUUGGAAAGAAAAGUAAUAAAGCAUAAAAAUAAGCUGAAGAAAGCAGAUGUAUGGAAAGUGUGCAGUGGUCAAAGCCUAAAAGGCAACACAACCAUUGACGGAAAAUUUUAGAGCAAGAGCAGAUAGGUAUCACUAAUGCUUUGAUCAAAUGGUAUUUUAUAUUUAUCUAGAAAUAGCCACCAGAUGUUGCAACAGACCCAGAUGAAGUUUUGCUUUUAACAGUAUGAAAAUGGGUGUAUCCUAGUACAGGAAAGAUCAUAUUAAGUUUAGUUAAAAGAAACAUUAUUCCUUGCUUUAGAGGCCUAAAGUCAAAUGUGCCUUUAUAAAUAGGCUAGCCACAGUUUUCACUUUUCACCCUUGGUGAUUAUAUCCAUCUCUUCAUAUUGAUUCUGUGUAAUUUAAUUACAUUAUCUUUUGUUACAAGUAAGAAAGUUAGGAGCAAAGUUGAAAAUCAACUUUCUCAGGUGAAGUAGAGAGGUCUUUGUGAAACAAAGCUACGACGCCAUGGAUUUCUUCAUCAUAGAGCCCAGAUUUCAGGCAGUAAUUCUUCUGAAUAUGGAUUGUAUAAGAGAAAUCUAAAGGAGGGUCAUUUUCUAGUCUGCCAAUGCCAGUCAUGACAUACAAAGAUCCAUCUCUGGGUCCAAACAGAAUUCGAUUUCCAACUAGGCAGAAGAAUGGAAAUGGCAGUCCCAGUGUGAAACCGGCUACCAGAAGAAGUUAGCUGCCGAGACAAACAACUUCUUCAUUACAUGAACGCUUUCCUUGUCACAGGUGAAUGAAGCCAAGAAACGACCAUUUUGAGCAAAGUUUGGAUGAAAAGCCAUGCUCAUCAGUCCAAAGCUGUAAUUCAAUAAGUUGGAUUGAGCUGAGUUGAUCAAUGCUCCGCUAGUAUUGCAAAGAAUAGGAAGUAGGAACUUGCUGAGGCAAUAACUUAUGUUUAUAGUUUAAAAAGCUCACCGGAGAAUUGAUAGCAUUUUUGUAUUCAUCAGUAAAGUUUAACACGAAAAGAAAAUAAAAAGUUAGACAGCA